rnacentral:lncRNA from 1 species
CGUCUUCCGUGAUCAUGUCGCUGCUUUCGGAUCUCCUCAACCUCAACCUCUCCGACACCACCGAGAAGGUGAUCGCCGAGUACAUAUGGUCAGUCCUCGCCAAUCCUCUGUCGUGCUACCCUGCCCAUUUGCCGUGUCCUUUUUUUUUUUUUUUUUUCUGCAUACCGUCGUGGCGUUUCGCUGUGUUUUGCCUCUCGUUCGUGUUGGGUUUCAAUUGUUUCUGUGCUUGCUGGUUGUGUUUUUUUUUCUUUUCUUUUCUUUUUUUAAAUCGCGAUCUCUGUUUCCUGAACUCAAGUACUCUGUUUCGUGGAUCGCGUCUUACUCGAUGCAUGCUUGUUCGGGUUUUCUGAUUCCUAAUGUUUGCAUUUCUCUGUGUAAAUCUACUCAGAUGAAAGAAGGGUAUUCUUGUUCUGUUUGGUACGGUUGAUUUCUCUAUCUUCUCGAAGUUCCUGAUCUUGGGCAUGCUGAUUUGUUGUAUUUCCAGUUCUGAGCUCCUUUUGUUCGUGAAUAUGGCUUCGUGUUUCUUUGAUUGUCUUAGUUCGGUGUUCUUUGGACUUUUCUCUCACUGGGUUGAAAAAAGAAGAACUCUCUUUUGUUUCCGUGUUGUCCUUGAUUGGCGAGAAGAAGAAAUUAACGUGUUUAAGCCCGGUGGUUCUUUCAGAUACAGUCAGAUUUGAUCUCGCUUUGCAGGCUGACUGUUUGUUCUUUUAGCCGCUAGAACAGAGCAAUCCUCUGGGUUGCGCUGCUUAUCGGGUUUCUCUGUGACCUUUCUCUCUUUUCCCUUUAAAACAGAUUUGCGGUGGAAGAUAGUAAUUUGAUGCAUUUGUUUUGUGCUAGAACUCUGAUAAACAGUUACCUCAGAUUUUGUUCAUUAAGUUGCGAAGUCACGUCUUUUUCUGCAUCUGAUGAUGUUUUAUGUUUUGGCUAAUUUGAAAAGGAUUGGGGGAUCUGGGAUGGACCUCAGAAGCAAAGCAAGAGUGAGUUUCUCUCUUUUUAGAUGAUCAAGCAAUUGGUUGUUCGGUAGCUCGUGAAUCUGUCCCUUUCCUGAUAUUUGACGUGGACUCCUCUUUCGAUUUGUCUAUAGACUCUUAAUGGCCCCGUCAGCGAUCCAUCAAAGCUACCCAAAUGGAACUAUGAUGGCUCGAGCACUAAUCAGGCCCCAGGGGAAGAUAGUGAAGUGAUCCUUUAGUAAGUGUUUGUACUUUACAUGGAUUUCUGUUUAUAGCCAUAAGUAAGUCUGGUUUGAUAUAACUUUAGUCAGAUCAGUGAUUUCUUAUUAGAGCUGGUAUGUAUCUAGAAUACUAAUGACAUCUUACCCGUCUCGGUAACAAUUGAAUGACGCAUACAGUCCCCAAGCAAUUUUCAAGGAUCCAUUUAGGAGGGGCAACAAUAUCCUGGUGAGUGCUUUUUCUAUUUAGCGGAAUGAGUUCUCCAUUUAUCAGUUUUUAUUUGAUGUUAUAGCGUAGUUAUUAACAAAGCGUCUGUGGUUUAGGUCAUGUGUGACGCCUACACUCCAGCAGGAGAGCCAAUCCCGACAAACAAGAGGCAUGCCGCUGCCAAGAUAUUCAGCCAUCCUGAUGUGCUUGCCGAAGAGCCCUGGUAAUUUCAUCCAUCUGGCCUUCUCAUUUUCAUUUUCUAAUUUCUUUCUCUAUUCACUCACUUGCUAUACGCAUGGGUUUAAUACAUGAAAACAGGUAUGGGAUUGAGCAAGAGUACACCCUCUUGCAGCGAGAUGUCAAGUGGCCAAUUGGAUGGCCUCUCGGUGGCUAUCCUGGUCCUCAGGUACAUCAUCACAGUUGCUUAAACCCCCGUCUCUGUUGCCAUAGACCAUCAUCCCUUUAAAUAAAAGAAGGGAGCAAGUGCUUGGCAUCUUAUACUCUUCCUACAAGUUUAUUCAGAACAUGGAGUUUCGCACUUGAUUCAUAAUGAUGUGGCAGAUAUGUCUACAAUGUUUUGUAUGCUGCAUCAGUUGUUUCAGAUCUUGUUCUCUAAAUCAUUAUGGUUCAACAGGGACCAUACUACUGUGGCAUUGGCGGAGACAAGGCUUUUGGAAGAGAUGUCGUGGACUCCCAUUACAAGGCCUGCUUGUAUGCUGGAGUCAACAUCAGCGGCAUCAACGGGGAAGUCAUGCCGGGCCAGGUUAGAAAACAUAUCAUUUUGGAAAUUAGUCACAUUACAUAUCAUCGAUUCUUAUUUCCCAGCUAAUUUAUUCAACUCUCAAUCAUUUUCUUAUCUAUUCCUGUGUAGUGGGAAUUCCAAGUCGGUCCUGCCGUGGGCAUCUCAGCUGGAGAUGAAUUGUGGGUAGCCCGCUACAUUUUGGAGGUAAUGUGACAGCCUAUGUUAUUUUUUUUAUCAUGACAUAGUAAUAUUUGCUGGCAAGGUUUUUUUGCUUAUUUAAUCAUGUUGCUGUAACCAGAGGAUCACGGAGAUUGCUGGCAUUGUCCUUUCAUUCGAUCCCAAGCCUAUCCACGUUAGUCCACUGCCCUUUAUAUUAAUUGUUCUUAAUGCUUAUGCAUGGCUACUUCAAGUUCAUCACAUGGCUUUUAUUAUCACCAGGGAGAUUGGAAUGGAGCAGGCGCUCACACAAACUACAGGUAACAAAACAUCACUGAUUCUUGUCUAUGCUUUCCUAUAUUAACGCGUUUCUGCACGUGCACACAAGCCAAGGAGACUCGCCACUCAAAUCUUUGCUGAAUAUUUAUGGCUGGGUUGCAGCACUAAGUCAAUGAGGAGUGAUGGUGGAUAUGAAGUCAUAAAAAAGGCAAUAGAGAAGCUUGGACUGAAGCACAAGGAACACAUUGCUGCAUAUGGUGAAGGCAAUGAGCGUCGUCUCACUGGGCGCCAUGAGACAGCUGACAUCAAUACAUUCCUGUGGGUAAGGAGAAUCAGAUGCCCUUGAAAAUGAAAUGUUAAUCAUGGUUAUCAUUGCUCUUUGCGCUAUUCAGAUUGGCAAGCUAGUGUCUUUAGAUGCUUUCUUGAUUGGGGGAUUGAGGCUGAAUAUUUUUGUGCAGCGCGUUGCAAACCGAGGCGCGUCAAUCAGAGUUGGAAGAGACACUGAGAAAGCUGGAAAAGGUUACUUUGAGGACAGGAGACCCGCGUCAAACAUGGACCCAUAUGUGGUCACUUCCAUGAUUGCAGAGACCACCAUUAUCUGGAAACCAUAGAGUUUCUCUCAGCUUGGGAACGAUCGCCGUGUGUCUAUCUUGAUCAGGGAAAAUAUUGUUUUAGACAGGACCCUGCUAGUAUUUCCUUUCGUUUUCAUUGCUGGGUGUUUCUACCGGUACAAUAGCUUUGGCUCUUUUUUUAUCUCUCCUCAUUUGCUUGCAACAUCUGCCGGUUUCUUAGGAGCAUGUGCUGAUUUCUGAUGCAGCAAAGACGAGCAGAUUGUUUCCUUGCAGUAUUGUUUUGAAUCUGCUGUAGUUGGUUGAAAAUAAAUUGUGACGGGGCUAAUCUUUUACUAUUGGAAAGUGACUAAUGUUCUUGGCAAAGUUUCUCCGAUUUUACUUGAGUAUACUGGAUGCGUAUUCUCCGAUGUAUGCCUAGCUAAAGCCGGAAGUAAGUACAGCCAGCCGGGCUUCCUGUUAGCUCAACUUCUUUCACAAUUCAACCUGUCUUCUCUUACUGUGCGUGUAAGAACAAAAAGGAAAUACCAAUGGAUUUGUGCAGGGGAUGGACUCAGGCCGGAUAGAUGUCUAUUAUCGAAUUCCUGACGUUACGGUUUUGGAAUGCCUGAGGCCUCUUCAACAUCGGAUGAAACCCUAUAUGACGAAGUUAUAUGCAAAGUCAGAGACAUCCACAAUUAAAAAACAUAUACUGCAGAAGGCAGUGUCAUGCUUCAUUGCGGAAUACGUAAUCGACUAAUACAAAAUGAGGAAAGCAAUAUACUUGAAGCACUUCUGCUUCAUAUACAAUGGAGAGGAAAUUCCUUCUUUUCAAGAGUUACGUUAGUUGGCUCUAUUCAAGAUAUUCGAUCCAGUUAUUAAAGCACAGUCGGGAAUGGAGACGGCACUUGUUUUUGAGCUAUAUCGAUGCAGUCACAUGGAUUGUCAUUGCUUGCAGAAAUAUUGUAUAUUGAAAGGUCAAGUAAAAUGAAAUGUGUUUCGAGAUGCUAAAAGCAUGAGAUCUUUCUGGUUGGAAGGCAUGACUCAUCCCGGCUAAUUCCCGAUCUGGGUUCCUGAACAGACUUUAAGGCAGCUUUAUAUUUUAUGGACAAAGCAUUUCUCACGGGUGUCCUUGCAAUUUACCUUCCCUGACCUCUCGGCUAAGGCCAAGUGCACAUCACAACGUGUUGAAAACUUGCAACAGCACACAAGGAAUGCAAUCAACAGGACAUGGAAAAUAUUCAACAUCGAUCAAUGUGCUUGGAGAUUCUGUUGGUGUCGGAAUGCGUACUACCUGAUGUAACCCCUCGUCGUUCAUCCAACGUGUGGUGGUUUAUAACAAGCUGUAUCAGCAAAUUGCAAUUUUGUAUUGUAAUCAAAAGGAUUGACAAAAGAGAGGCAUAUAAUAAGAAAAAAAACAAAGGGCUCAGCUCCGUGUGUUCUGAGUCUAUGGGCUGAAGAAGUGGACUGUGGAAGGAAUUACGAUGAAAAUGAUGAUUCGGAUCAGGAUUAGUUAAUCUAAUCACUGCAUACGUCAGGAGGAGAGAAGCUUCACCAUGAGAAAAUAGCCCGAAAACGCCAUAUCUCACCUAAUGCUUUCGAAAACCUACAAAGCUAACACCAAUGAAACAGCCUAUCAGUUGAAUGCUGACAACAAGAACAGAAAGGACAUUCGCCAUUAGGUGUGAGCAAUAUUAUAUAACCUUUUCGUAAGAAAAAGAAGACUUGCAAUGCCCUCAUCAACUUGUAGAAGCACAUUCUAACAUCUUCCCUUGCUUUCCUACUUACCCUUCUAAUCUAUGGAACCUCGCUGUUGCCUUCAUUCCUAGCUAAGACUAGACAGUCUUGUCCAUUAGCAUCGCAAUUCGUAUGGAGGUCAUAAGAAGAGCAAAAGGGAUUGAUGAUGGCAAGGAUGCUGUCAAAGAUGCCGCAAGGGCUUCAUACUCGCAUGGUUCCUGGUUGGAGCAGAAGCCUAUUUGUGAAUAUUGUGAGAUGGCCUCGAGCCCAAGUCCUAGUCCUAAACCGUCUUGUUACAAGCUUGAAGCCAUGAAGAUGACCAAAUCCGAGCCUGAGACCAGAGAGGCUCCAAGACACAAUCGAGGAAUCCGUAAGGAGAAUUCUCUGCUUGACUCAUAUGAAGUAGAAGCUAUACGCAGGCAACUGGACCAGUUCAUAGAAUACUGUCGGCGUGAGAGGGAUGGUCAUUCUAGAGCCAAAGCUCAUCAUCAUCAACAUCAGAAAAAUAAAAGUAACGAGGGCAGCAAAUUAGGGAGGAAAGUGAAGGUGCUUUGGCAGAGGCAUGCGUUGACGUGUGGGGCUCCUGAAGAUGUGAUUGACUCGAUCGCUCUCAAGACUCGCAGGGUGUCACAAGCCAGCUUCGCCUCAUUGUCCUAGAUCUUCUACUUCACCCGUUGGGUCAUUGUAUAGCUAAGGAUUCAGUACAUUUUUACAUCUUUUCUUGUGGGCAUUGUACACUAGUAUACUUGCUCGAUUGGGUCGAAAUCUUGUCACGCCCUCUUAUAUAAUCUUGCAAGUCUUGCUGCUAACAAGCAUUUAUCUCAUCAGACAGUGAUAAAGUACUUGCACCUGUGAUGAACCUAAAAUGUGUCGAUAUCAUUCUGGAAUGAAAGAAACCAGAAAAGAGAAACAGUGAGUUUGUCAUAUGCUAGUGAUAUGGCGAUUGUUCUCGUUCAUAAAUUCUUGGUCGGGGCAGACCUACGGAGUGAUGGAGGCCAGACCCUAUGUGACCCCAUCUUUGCAAACAUCCAGCAGCUGGGCUGAUCGAUCCCAUUCCUACCGCAAACGUGUAAAGUUCACUCAGGCACGGCAAAUUUUCUGAUGUAUUUACAACGUGCAAGACAAGAAAAUUCACAAAGUCGAUUAAACAUAAGCUAUUCUAAGAAAAAAUAAAGGAUUUGCAUCGUGGGCAUGAGUCACCUAGGAGUUACGUGCUUCAAUUCCAGAAGCUUGUAUUCCUUAUUGAAGGAUGCUAUCAAAACAUGCCACGAUCAGGCACGCAAUGGCAGUUGCGCUAUUUACGGUCUCAUAUUACCAAGCACGCCAAAACUGAGCUCUCAACUAAGUUCAGGAAUUAAAGCUGCCAUCCACCACAGGCACAAGGCGGCAAUUUCGAUUUGCAAUUUGAAACGGGGAUUAUCAACAAUCAAAUAAAAGUUGUCCAACUCCAAGCUCUCUAAAGAAGAACUAAUUAAUUGCUCAGAUCACUCACAAAUUGGCCCGCUUGGCUGUAUAGUUUUUAUCGGGUUAACCUCGUGCACCACCGCCAACACAGACUUACAUGCUUCUUCAAAGAAAUGUUGAAGAGAGAUCCUUGAAAACGAAUUUCACUAUGCACUGACAAUGCACAUCAGUAUAGACAACAAACAGGAUGAAGGGCAGAAGGCUGGAAGCAAAAGCAGCAAUCACACAAUCAGUUAAAAAGACAAUCAAACAGUCCAGAGGAGAGAGAUUUCUCCUUAAUCAUUAACAUAGAAGAUAGUUUACUUUCCUAAGCUGUAUCAUUCACAACAGACGCUAAAUUGCAUGCAGAAGCUCAAAUAAAAACUAGGAAUGCAUCUUGGCGACCAAAUCUAAGCCAUUCAAAAUAUGUUAGUCAUAACUGAUUUUACAGAAGACAGGAUGAACUGAGAACCAAAAAGAUCUUGACCAAGCAAAGCUAAAACCAAGAUUCUAAACAAGCUACAAUAACGUCUACCGCAUCUUUGCUUGCUCAGGCAUGCCACCGCUACAACAAGCUCUACCCUUGCCAAAGGCCUUCAUCUUCCCCCUCUCUCUACUCGUCACUGUCAGAUUCAUCACCUUUCUCUCUAUUUGCAUUGCUUGCUUCUCUCUCCAACUCCUCCCAUGUCUUCCCCUUCCCUUCCUCCGAAUCUUCUUCUGAACCUAAGUCGUCAUCCUCCUCAGACUCCACCUAGGACUCAUUAUCAGAGGCAUCUUCUUCCGAAUUGGAUUCGGACAGCACAUCAGAUGGUUCAUAACCUCGGUCUGGUUCCUCUGAUUUUUCACUAUCUGAGUCACUGACGACCAAAUUCAAAAACUCCUAGCCCCCAUCAUCUAUGAAGCUCUGGGGAUCAUCAGUUAUGUUCUUCAAUAUCUGUCGCCAGUUCAGAUUCAAUCUGCUUUUGAAGUACUUGAAAACUAUAGUCAUAUCGAAGUUCUUCUGUGCAAGACCAACUCUCUCCAAGUUCACAAUAUCAAUCUCACUCAGUGCCACCACAAGGAAAGGAGUCUCCAUCGGUUCCACCAGGUAGGUUGAAGUCGGAACAGUGAAAGCUGAAGCUUUGUAGCGAACCCCAUGAAAGCCAAGCUCUCUUAAAGGCUGAUCGAAUUCAAGGUCCAGCUCACCAGACUAGGGCUGGCCCCAGAGCUAGUCUUUUAUUGUUGGAAAGUGGCUAAUGUUCUCGGCAUAGUUUCUCCGAUUUUACUUGAUUUCAUUGGAUGCAUAUUUUCCGAUGUUCAUGUCAUUUUAAAGCUGGAAGUACAGAUGGCCCUUGGUCCCUUCCUUUUAGCUCAACUUAUUCCAAAAUUCAAGCUGUUGCGUGAGAAAACAAAGGUCUCCAAAUUUCAAGAUAUACCGAAGAACCAGAAGAGCGACGGUCGCCCUUGACAUUCCGAAAUGGAUUUGCGCAAGGAAUGGAUCCAGGGCAGGCGGACGUCUUUUAUGAAAUCGCCCGACUUUGCAGUCUUGGAAUUCCUAAGGCCUCUUCACCAUUAAAAAAAAGAAAAGAAAAAAAAAAGAACCCAUAUAUCGCAGUUAUAUGUGAAGUCAGACAUCCGGGUUCAACCUACAGAAACUGCAGGAGAUAUUGUCGUGCUUCACUGCGGACUACAUGAUCAACUAAUACAAAAUGAAGAAGCAUAAUACUAAAAGCACGUCUGCUACAUAUCCAAUAAGAGAGGAAAUUUCAUUCUCCGCAAGCAUUACUUCAGUUGGGGUCCAGAUUCUAUUCAAGAUGUUCGAUGCUAUUCAGUGAAGCGCAGUCAGGAACGGAGAUGGUACUUGUUUUGGAGGUAUAUUGACGCAGCCGCAUGGAUUGUCAUUACUCGUGGGGAGUAGAUGUAUAUCUCGAAAGAUUUAAUUAAAAUAAAAUAUAAAUGCAUUGAAAGUCCUAAAACUUAUUAAGCAAGUUUAAUUGAGUCCUAAAAUUUUUCAAAUGUACAAUUAAGUUCUAAAACUUGUCACGAACGUACAGUCGAAUCCUAAAACAUUCAGAAAGUGUAAAUAAGUCCUAAAACUUAUAAUAUUAGUCCAAUCAACUGUUUCCAUUGAUUACACUUGUUUGAAAAUUUUAAGAAUCGCUUGUACUUUCUUGACAAGUUUUAGACGUCCAUUAUAUUUUUGUGACAAGUUUUUGGACUUGAUUGCGCUUUUUGAAAGUUUUAAGGUUCAAUUACACUUGGGAGAAGUACACUAUUAGUACCAUAAGUAGUAUACAACGCUCACUUUGGUGCCAAAAGUUUCCGUCGGAUCACUUAAGUACGUUGGUGCCAAAAGUUUCCGACAGAUCACUUAAGUGCCAAAUUGGAGAAAAAAUGAUCACUUUGGUGUCACCGGUAAGAGAUUCCGGCCAGAUUAAUUACGUGGCUUUUAUAUUAAAAAAAAAGAAGUCGUGGAGGCUUUAAAACGACAUCGUUUUCCAUUCUCUUCAAGAAACGACGUCGUUUGGCCGUUAUACGUGAACAUCCUCACAGAAACGACACCGUAUAGCUCAUAGGGAUUGAAAUUACGGUUUCCGUCGCUCGCCGCUCGGCCACCGUCAUUUGCCCACCAUUGCUCGGCCACCGUUGCUUCGCCACCAUUGUAGUUGCUCGACUGGGUGAGUGAGGAGAUAUUGAGAUUGUUGCUCAAGCAAGAAGUGGCGGGAAGAAUAGGAAGCGAGGGCAAGGAGGAGGAAGAAAAGGGGUUGAAGGUGCCACUAGUGUGCUACUGUUGCUGCUGGUGGCGCCGGUGCCGUUGCUGGUGCGCUGUUGGUACUGCUGUUAGUGCCAUUGCUGGUGCCAUUGCUGGCGUAGGUCUUCAAGGAAGAAGAAGACGACGUUCCUUCUCUCUCUCUUUCUUUCUCUCUCUCUCUCUCUCUCUCUCUCUCUCUCUCUCUCAAUUUGGGAAUUUAGGGUUUCUAAGUUGGGGGAAGACGAGAAACGGCGUCGUUUUGUUGUUUGAAUGGCUGAUUGUACUCUCCGACGAGCCACGUCGGCUUAAAAAAUUAAUAAAAAAGUGCCACGUCGGAUUUCCGGUCAAUUUCAUCGGCGUUGGCACUGAAAUAAUCAUUUUUCAAAUUUGUUGGCACUUAAAUGAUCUGACGGAAACUUUUGGCACCAAAGUAAAUGCGGUACACAACUUAUGGCACUCAAGUGUACUUCUCCCAUUGCACUUUCGUGAUAAGUUUUAAGACUUUUAAUGCACUUAAUCUCUAAAAGGAAACGGGUUUUGAGAUGCUAAAAGCAUGAGAUCUUUCUAGUUUGCAAUGCACGACUCAUCUUGGCUAAUUCCUGAUCUAGAUAAAACCCACCUGAGCAGACUAUAAGGUAACUUUGUAUUUAUGGACAUAGCAUUUCUCUUGUGUGUCUUGACAAUUUCCCUUCCCUAACCUCUCCGCUAAGGCUGAACGGACAUCAUUGCAACAGGUACAAAACUUGCAAUAGCACACGACGAAUGCAAUCAACAAGACAUGGAAGGUAUCCAACAUAGAUCGAUGUGCUUAAAGAUUCUGUCCGUGUCGGACUCCGUACAAUUUGAUGAAACCCCAUGCCGUUCAUCCAACGUGUGGUGGUUUAUAACAAGCUAUAUCAGCAAAUUGCAAUAUUGAAUCUUAAGAGGAGUGACAAAAAGAGAGGCAUAAAAUAAAAAACAAAGGGCUCGGAUCCGUGCAAGGAAUUACGAUGAAAAUGACGAUUCGGAUCAGGAUUAAUUGAUCUAAUCGCUUGGUACGUCAGGCGGAGGAGAGAAGCUUCACCACGAGGAAAUAGGCCCAAAACGCCACAUCUCACCUAAUGCUUUCGAACACCUGCAAAGCCAGCGCCAAUGAAACAGCCUCAGUUAAAUGCUGACAACAAAUCAUGGAAUCUCUAUCAGUUCCAUUCUUCUGGUCAACCUGAAUCAUGGAAUCUCUAGGAGGUGGUAAAUCAUUCACACUUUUAUAAGCAACAAGAUAUGUCGAAGCCUUGGCAGCAUUUCUGUUGUCUCCACUCCCGGAGCGUCCACCAACAAGCCGCCAUGCUGUUUCCUCAUUUUUUUUGACGAGCCAAUUCUGCCUGAUGCUGCCUUAUUAGCUCCUCCCUGAUUCCCGGUUGUCUGACCUGCGUGUUGUCUUGGACAUGAACGCGUCCACACCAUUAGCCUCAGGUUUGGCUUUUGGCCUCUCCUCUUCUUACUCACCCUCAUUGAAUGAGUAAGCCCCGACCUUCACGGCCUUAGAGCUCAUAUGAGUGGCAACAUCUGAUUUUUCCUUUUCAACAACGACCGUGUCAGCAAGCAGCAUAGAAAUAUUUUCGUUCUUUUGGUCGUUUGUCCGGUUCUGCAAAUUCUGGAAACCAAGUGACACAUUAAAGACCAUGUUUUCUUUGAUUAUUCUCUCAUUUUCGGCAUUGAUGUUCAACCCUGACUCCCGAAAUUCAACACCCAUUCCUGUCCAGCUGACUUCGUCGAGUUUAGUAGUAGUUCAGGAGCAUCCUUGUCAACUACUGAUGAGGCCGCCUGAGAGGCUGCAAUGAGCUUGUUCCCGGGCUUCAACAUGCUAAUUGCUGCUUCAUGGGCCUUUAGAAGUACUUCAUAUGCUUCACUCUGCAGGGGAUUGGCAUCAAUCAUGAAUGUCCUUGCGCAAUUAGAGCAGUAACCGUUAUAACAAGAUCCGACCGUGCAUAUAAUCGUGCUUGCAGAAUCAUAGUAAACCAAUUCGUCGUUGCCGGCGGCACUGGGCCUCAGAUCAAACUCUCCUUCACUCUGGAAAAUAGGAGGAUAGCAAGUAUCAAUGCCAUCUACCUUCAGCUUUACCUUGGCUCUAGAUGGAUCCAAUAAGGCUUUCUCAGUUUCAUCCAUCAACGAUGACUGAGUCGCUUUCUUCUCCUUAUCAAUAACAUUCUAUCAUUUUGGAACCACAUAAUUCUUCAACACAUUAGCCAUCAGAUGUGCUGCCUUUCUCACAUUUAAAAGCUCAGCGUCAUCCUUGACAGCAGAAAAUUUGGACAACCGAUCGGUCACAUCACCGAGCUGAAAGACGGAAGCCUCAAGCUUCUCAGCCCAUGUCUCCAAAAGCUUACCUUCAGGAGCCCCUCUUGCUGACCAGCCGCCUUGGAAAGAGAGUGGAUGGCACUGAAAAUUGCCUCCGUUACUGCAGUCCCAUCAUCACUUCUCGCCUGAACAACGUCGAGAGAUCGAGAGAUCGAGAGAGAGAGAGAUUUAGGGCUUUCAAGCGAUUACGUGAAUGAAGAGGGAGGCGAGUAGACUGGGGAUUUCCAGGAGAGGAGGGAUGGUGAAUGAGAGUGGAAGGAACCACUGCCUUCACCAGAUUCCUCACAGAAGCCAAUGGCCGUUGGAGCUUAGGCGUCGGGCUAUGGAUGUUCCAUGGGAUCUUGUAACGAUAUGAGCUCUAAGGCCGUGAAGGUUGGGGCUUACUCAUUCAAUGAGGUUGUGGAAGAAGAGGAAAGACCAAAAGCCAAACCUGAGGCUAAUGUCGUGGACGCACUCAUGUCCAAGCCAACACUCAGGUCAGACAACUAGGAAUCAAGGAGGAGCUAAGAAGGCAGCAUCAGGCAGAAUUGGCUCGUCAAAAAAAUGAGGAAACUGCAUGGCGGCUUGCUGGUGGUACCGAUAGAGACUCCUUUCAUUGUGGUGACACUGAGCAAGAUUGAGAUUGUGAACCUGGAGAGAGUUGGCCUUGGACAGAAGGACUUUGAUAUGACUAUAGGUUUCAAGGACUUCAAGCGGGAUGUGCUUAGAAUUGAUUCCAUCCCUUCUACAUCUCUCGAUUGAAUCAAGGAAUGGCUUGACACGACGGACAUCAGGUACUGUGAAAGAAGAUUGAAUCUGAAUGGGCGACAGAUAUUGAAGACAAUAACUGAUGAUCCAUUGAGCUUCAUAGAUGAUGGGGGCUGGGAGUUUUUGAAUUUGGAAGUCAGUGACUCAGAUAGUGAAAAGUCAGAGGAGUCAGACCAAGGUUAUGAAACAUCUGAUGUGCAGUCCGAAUCCGAUUCAAAAGAAGAUGCCUCUGAUAGUGAGUCCUUGGUGGAGUCUGAGGAGGAUGACGACCCAGAUUCAGAAGAAGAUUCAGCGGAAGAGAAGGGGAAGACAUGGGAGGAGUUGGAGAGAGAAGCAAUCAAUGCAGACAGAGAGAAAGGUGAUGAAUCUGACAGUGAGGAGGAGAGAAGGAGGAGGAAGAUGAAGGCCUUUGGGAAGGGUAGAGCUGGUCCUAGCGGUGGCAUGCCUAAGCGAGCAAAGAUGCGGUAGAUGUCACCGUAGCUUGUUUAGAAUCUUGGUUUUAGCUUUGCUUGGUCAAGCUCUUUUUGGUUCUCAGUUCGUCCUGUCUUCUGUAAAAUGCAGUUAUGACUAACAUAUUGUUAAAAUUUUUGGAUGUAUUUGCGUGCGGAAGCAUGAUUUUGGUAUUAGUUAUAGUUUUUGGUUAAUGAUGUGUGUAAGUGUAUGGUAUAUUUUGUAGAGGAUGAACAAGGAACAAGAUAGGAUAAUUUAAAGAAUAAAUAACAUGGAUAUGAGGAAAAAUAGUUUCAUUAAUUAAAAGAAAUAGUUUGAUGAAGAUAGUCAUGGUGGAGGGUUUUCCCACACAAGGUGGACCUCUCACACUCUCGGUGGAGGGUUUCCCCUCGCACACGUUCAAAUAAUCAAUUACAAGCCUAUUUAUAGGCGUGAGUUCACCGCCAUAUCUACGGACUUUGAGUACAUAAAAUAAUAUAAAAUUGCAGCUUCUUUGUCUUCUGCUUGUGCGGCUUUUCUCUUCUAGUCAAAGUCCAAGUUGGACUUUGCUUUUCUUUUCUUCUUUUUGCCGAGCUUCUCGUUCCUUCUCCAUUUUUCUUUAAUUUUCUAUUCUUGCUGCCCACGUACUCUAGAUCAUUCUUUCUUCAUGGUGAAGCAGCUAUUGUUGACUUUCUUCAAGAUUUCUCAUGCACGUAGAGCUUGUUCUCUUGAAAACUCCAGCAACUACUAUAAUAUUAUUUUAUUGUGUGCCCCUUCAUUCUUUCAGCUUGAGGCUUCCUCAUAUGUUUCCCAUGCACGUACAUUUCUCUUGUUUGUUCUAGGUUUUUUUUUUUUUAUGCUUCUUCACAGAGUCUUCAAGUUCAACUUAGACUCUUCAUCUUUUCUUGCAUGCAUGUGCAACGUUGCCGACUCAUUCCUUCUCCAUUAAGUUAGUAGUUUCUAGACUUUGUUGAAAAUGGAUCACCAAUUUCCAACACAUAUUUUGAAUGGCUUAGAUUUGAUCGCCGAGAUGCAUUCCUAGUUUUUAUUUGGGCUUCUGCAUGCAAUUUAGCGUCUGUUGUGAAUGACACUGCUUAGAAAGUAAACUAUCUUUAAUGUCAAUGAUUAAGGAGAAAUCUCUCUCUUCUCUCGACUGUUAAUUAUUUUUUAACUGAUUGUGUGAUUGCUGCUUUUGCUUCCAGGCUUACACCCUUCCACCUGUUUGUUGAUUUGUUUGUUGUCUAUGCUGAUGUGCAUUUUCAGUGCUUAGCAAUAUAUUCGUUUUCAAGGACCUCUCAUCAACAUUAUUUUGAAGAAGCAUGAACCUCUGUAGAGGCGGUGGAGCACGAGGUAAACCCGAUAUAAACUAUACAACUGAGUGGGCCAAUUUUUGAGUGAUUAGAGCAGUUAAUUAGGUCUUUGAGAGAACUAGGAUGAGUUGGACAACUUUUAUUUGAUUGUUGCUGGUCGCUGUUUCAGGUUGCAAAUCGAAAUUGCCUCCUUGUGCCUGGGGUGGAUGGCAGCUUUGAUUCUUGAACUUAGUUGACAGCUCAGUUUUAGCGUGCUUGGUAAAAGGAGACUGUAAAAAGAGACCGCCCGCCAUUGCGUGCCUGAUCGUGGCAAGUUCUUUUUUUUUUUGGUAAGGAUGAUCGUGGCAUGUUUUGAUAGCUUCAUUCGGUAAGAAAUACAAACUUCUGGAUUUGAAGCCUAAAACUACUGACUUAUAUAUACAUAUAUGUAUGUAUGUAUGUAUAUAUGUAUGUGUAUAUUUUAAAUAGCUUGUGUUUAAUGGGUUUCGUGAGUUUUCUUGUCUUGCACGAUUGUAAAUACAUUAGAGAACUUACUGUGCUACUAGAUGUUUGCAAAGAUGGGGUUUACCUCCGCCAUCACGCCCUAGGUCUGCCCCAACCAAGAAUAUAUGAACAAGAACAAUCGCGGUAUCACUAAUAUCAGCUAACUCCAGGGUUGUUCAGUAUGACUCCUAGAUUCCCGUAUUUGAGCAGAUUUGAGGGAUGGUUAAGAGAUUAUCAUGCAAACCUACCAAGAUCAUGAGUUUCAUAAGACGAGCUUACUUUUUCUCUUUUCUGGUUUUUUCCAUUUCAAACGAUAUUGACACGUCUUAGAUUCAUCACAGGCACAAGUACUUUAUCACUCUCUGAUGAGAUGAAUGCUUGUUAGCUGCAAGAGUUGCUCGAUUAGAUAAUGAGCGGGCGGCGAGAUUUUGACCCACACAAGAAUUGAAUGACUUUCACCAACGUAUGUAUACUAGUGUACAAUGCCCGCAAGAAAAGACCAGGACUAGGACUUGGACUCGAGGCCAUCCCGCAGUAUUUACAUAUAGACUUCUGUUCUGACCUGGACCGAUGCAAGUACCAAGCCCUCGCAGCUUCUUCGACAGCAUCCGUGCCAUCAUCAAUUCCUCUUGCUCUUCUAAUGACCUCCAUACGAAUUGCAAAGCUAAUGGACGUGAGUGUUGGUUUCAGCUAGGAACGAAGGCGACAGCGAGGUUCAACAGAUUUGAAGGUAAGUAGGAAAGUAAAGGAAGAUGUUGGAAUGUGCUUCUGCAAAUUGAUAAGGGCAUUGCAGUUCUCUUUUUCUCAAAGGUUAUAUAAUAUUGCUCACACCUAAUGGUGAGUUUCCUUUCUGUUUUUGUUGUCAGCAUUCAACUGAUAGGUUGUUUCAUUGGCGCUGGCUUUGUACGUCUUCGAAAGCAUUAGGUGAGAUUUGGCGGUUUGGGACUAUUUCCUCGUGGUGAAGCGUCUCUCCUCCGCCUGAUGUACCAAGUGAUUAGAUUAAUUUAUCCUAAUCCGAAUCGUCAUUUUCAUCGUAAUUCCUUCCAUGGAUCCGAGCCCUUUGUUUUUAUUUUUUAUUUUAUGCCUCUCUUUUGUCACUCCUUUUAAUAUACAAUAUUGCACUUUACUGAUAUGAUGAACGACAUGGGAUUACAUCAAAUCGCAUGUAGUCCGACACAGACAGAAUCUUUAAGCACAUCGAUCAAUGUUGCAUAUGUUUCAUGUCUUGUUGAUUGCAUUCAUUCUGUGCUAUUGCGACUCUUGUACCCGUUGUGAUGUGCAUUCAGCCGUAGCCAAGAGGUUAGGGAAGGGAAAUUGUUGGGACACACAUGAGAAAUGCUAUGUCCAUAAAUACAAGGCUAGCUUGAAGUUUGUUCAGGUGGGUUCUACCUAGAUCGGAAUUAGCCAAGAUGAGUCGUGCAUUGCGUAUCAUAAAGAUCUCAUGCUUUUAGCUUCUCGAAACCCAUUUUCUUUUAGCAAUAAGUCAUUGAAAGUCUUAAAAUUUAUCAAAAAACGUCCUAAAACUUAUCAGGAAGAACAAUUGAGCUUUAAAACUUUUAAAAAGUGCAAUUAAAUUUUAAAACUUAUCAUCAAAACGCAAUCGAGGCUUAAAAUUUUCAAUAAGUGUGAUCGAUGAAAGCAAUUGAUUGGACUAAUAUGACAAGUUUUAUAACUUAUUACACUUUCUAAAUAUUUUAAGACUCGAUUGUACUUUCGUGACAAGUUUUAUCACUUAAUUACGUAUUUUGAAAAUUUUAGAAGGCAAUUAAACUUUCUUGACAACUUUUAAGAUUUCUAAUAUAUUUAUGCUUUCUUUUUAUUAAAUCUUUCGAGAUAUACAUCUAAUCCGCACGAGCAAUGACCAGAUUUCUAAUAUAUUUAUGCUUUCUUUUUAUUAAAUAUUUUGAGAUAUACAUCUAAUCCCCACAAGCAAUGACAAUCCAUGCAACUGCAUCGACAUAUCUCUUAAACAAGUACCAUCUACGUUCCUGCCUGCGCUUCACUAAAGCCCGGCCUGGAUCCGUUCAUUGCAGAAAUCCAAUUGGAAAUGUCAAGGGCGACCGCCGAUUUUCCAGUUCUUCCGUAUGUCUUGAAAUUUAGAGACCCUCGUUUAUUCACGCAACAGCUUGAAUUUUGGAAGAAGUUGAGCUAGAAGGAAGGGACCAAGGGCCGGCCGUACUUCCCGCCUUUAAAAUGACGUAAACAUCGGAAAAUAUGCAUCCCAUGAAAUCAAGUAAAAUCGGAGAAACUAUGCCAAGUACACUAGCCACUUUCCAACAGUAAAAGACUAGCUGUCCCCAUUUAAUUUCAACCAACGACAGCAGAGUCAAAUCAUUACCGCGAGGCAGCAAAUAUUAGUCUCCUUGCUACAUCACCAAUCCGCAUAAGUUCUGAAGAAACUGCAAAUAUCCCCAGAAAAUGAAGAGAGAGAAAGAGGCAAUGCUGUUUUAUACCCGUAAAUGAAGAGAGGAUGGAAGGAGGAAAUAAUUGUAGUUGUCCUGUCUAAAACAAUUUCCCCUUAUCCAACAACAGCAUGCCACGCUUGUUCGACAGCACGCCACACUCGUUCCAAAGCCAACUCAUAAUAGGGUUUCCAGAGGAUUGUGGUCUCUGCAAUCAAGGAAGUGACCAUGUACGGGUCCGAGUUGGAUGCAGGUCCGCUGUAGUCAAGAGAACCAUUCCCAGCUUCCUCAGGGUCUCUUCCGACUCCAAUAUCAGCACCUCGGCUCACAAAGCCCUGCUGAAAACCCCAGUGUCAAUCCACCAUUCUAUAACGCAUCUAAAGAUGCCAGCUUGCCAAUCCAAAUACGGCUAAGAGCAACAAUAAACAUGCUUAAAGUUCCAAGUUCCAGAGGCAUCUGAUUCUCCUACCCAUAGGAAGGUGUUGAUGUCAGCUGUCUCGCAGCACCCACUGAAAUAAGAUGCCCAGAUCUGUUCCUUGGCCCUCAGUCCAAUCCUCUCUAUUGCCUUUCUGAUGGCUUCAUGCCCACCAUCGUUCCUCAUUGACUCGGCGCUGCAACCCGGCCAAAAAUUUUAGUUAAAGAUACGAGUGCCAAGUCUCCUUUCCUUGUUUGCACGUGCAGAAAGAUGUCAACAUAGGAAAGCAUGGACAAUAUUCAGUGAUGUUUUCUUACCUGUAAUUUGUGCAUAAACCUGCUCUGUUCCUGUCUCCCUGGUAUUAACAAAACCCGGGUGAUGAACUUGAAGUUGUUGUGCACAAAACUGAAGAACCAUUAACAUAAAGGGCAUCGAACUGACCUGAAUAAGCCUGGCAUCGAAUGCAAGGACAAUGCCGGCACUCUCCGUGAUCCUCUGGUUACACCAAGACGACUAAAUAAGCAAAAAAACUCUGAAGCGGGUGUUAAUACAGCAUGAUAAGACAAUGUAGGCUGUUGCAUUACCGCCAAAAUAUAGCGGGCUACCCAGAGUUCAUCUCCAGCUGAGAUGCCCACGGCAGGACCGACUUGGAAUUUCCACUAUACAAGAAUAAGAUAAGAGUAGUGUUGAAAAUUGAAAAAGUUAGCUGGGAAAUUAAGAAUUGAUGACAUGAAACGUGACUACUUACGAAAAGAAAAUGUUUUCUAACCUGCCCUGGCAUGACACUGCCCUCGAUGCCGCCGAUGUUGAUUCCAGCAUACAAGCAGGCCUCGUAAUGGGAGUCUGCAAUGUCUGCGCCAAUACCACAGUAGUUUGGUUCCUGUUGAAGCAUAAUGAUUUAAAGUACAAGAUCUGAAAGACCUGAUGCCACAUACAAAAAAUUUGUAGACAUAUCUGCUACAACAUUAUGCAUCAAUCAAUAAACUCCAUGUUCUGAAUAAACUUGUAUGCGAUGCACUUGCUCCCUUCUUUAGUUUAAAGGCAUGAUGGCACAUGGCAACAGAGACGGGUUUGAGCAUGAGUGAUGAUAUACCUGAGCACCAGCAUAGCCACCGACAGGCAGUCCAAUUGGCCAAUUGACAUUUCGCCGCAAGAGGGUGUACUCUUGCUCAAUCCUAUACCUGUUUUCACUUGUCAAACCCGUAUGAACGGUAAGGGAGUUGAAUAGUGAAAAAAAGUUAGAUAUGAAAAUGAGAAAACACGAAGAAUGAAAUUACCAGGGCUCUUCAGCAACAACAUCAGGAUGGCCAAAUAUCUCGGCAGCGGCAUGCCUAUUGUUUGUCACAAUCGGCUCUCCAGCUGGAGUAUAGGUGUCACACAGGACCUAAACCGAUGACGUUUCGUCGAUAACUACUUAUAACAUCAAAUCAAAACUGAUAACUGCAGAACUCAUUCCGCUAAAUAGAAAAAGCACUCACCAGGAUAUUUGCACCCCUCCUAAACGGAUCCUUGAAAAUUGCUUGGGGACUACAUGUCAUUGAGUCAAUUCCAAAGACAGGUAAGAAGUCAUCAGUAUUCAAGAUACCUACGAGCUCUAAUGAUAAAAAUCACUGAUCUGACUAGAUUUCUAUCAAACGAGCCGAGACUUAUGAGUAUAAACAGAAAUCCAUAUGAAGAAAUAAUACAAACACUUACUAUAGGAACACUUACUAUAGGAUCACUUCACUAUCCUCCCCGGGGGCCCCAUCAAAGUUCAACCUGGGAAGCAUUGAUAUAUUGUCGACGGGGCCAUCAAGAAUCUAUAGAUAUUUGGAAAUGCGAAAUCCACAUCAAGUCUCAGGAAAGGAACGUAUUUAUGAGCUACCGAACAACCUAUUGCUUGAUCAUCUAAAAAGAGAGGAACUCACUAUUCCCAUGCUUCUGAGGACCAUACCAGCUUCCCCGAUCCUUUCCAAAGAUAGCCAAAACAUAAAGAAUCAUCAGAUACAGAAAAAGACGGAUUCGAAAUAUAAUGAACGAAAUUAGAGGUAAUUCCUAAUCAGAACUGGAAAUGCAGCAAAACAGUAUGCCUAAGAUCAGAUCGGGAUCGAACUGAACUUCGAGAAGAUAGAGAAAUCAACAGAAAAGGACGUAUUCAAAAUAUAAUGAACAAAACUAGAGGUAAUUCCUAAUCAGAACUGGAAAUACAGCAAAACAGCAUGCCUAAGAUCAGAUUGGGAUCAAACUGAACUUCAAGAAGAUAGAGAAAUCAACAGAAAAGGACGGAUUCGAAAUAUAAUGAACAAAAUUAGAGGUAAUUCCUUAAUCAGAACUGGAAACACAGCAAAAUAGCAUGCCCAAGAUCAGAUCGGGAUCAAACUGAACUUCGAGAAGAUAGAGAAAUCAAUAGAAAAGGACGGAUUCGAAAUAUAGUGAACAAAAUUAGAGGUAAUUCCUUAAUCAGAACUGGAAAUACAGCAAAACCGCAUGCCUAAGUUCGGAUCCGGAUCGAACUGAACUUUGAGAAGCUAGAGAAAUCAAACGCACCAGACAGAACAAGAGGAUUAGCGACAAGUGAGCAAGGACUGACCAUAAGUACUCGGCAACCACCUUCUCGGUGGUGUCGGAGAGAUUGCGGUCGGAAAGGAGCGACAUUGCAGUGCCUCGCUCUCAAAUCGAGUUGGAUCGUAUCGAAUGGCAUCAAAUUGUAGGGUUUCAUCGGAUUGUAUAUAUAUGUGUGUUGAGUGUGUGUGAACGCAGUGAAUCUACUGUAUAUGUAUCCGUAUGUGUAUAUGUACUAUGUACACGACCCGCGAGGAGCCGGAUCCAGGAGCCGCAAGGAGCUGGAACUGGAACUGGAAUGAGCCAGAGCCGCGGUGAGCCGGAUCUGCGAACCGUCCACUGCUUCCCAGAAACUGAAAUCGAAACGAACCGAAAACCGAACUGGAACUUGAACCGGGGACCCGUCCUCGGGUCUCGAAUCAUCGAAACAAGGAACACCCAAUUCGACAGAACCCAGGUACAGGGCUCGCUGGAGCUGAGAUCUAAAGAUCUAAAACUGGAGCCGAGCCGUCUCCCCGAUUCAACAUGAGUAGACGGAUCUCUCCCCUUGCGGUUGCAGGUGAAGAAGACGACCGAUCCGAGGUUGCGAUCUGAAGCAGAGACAAGAGGAAGGAAGGAUAAAUGAAUAAAGCAAAGCAAGCCCCCGAAACUCAUGGCACAAAAGUGAAAGAGAUAUGGUUGUAAGCUGAGUCAACAAGGCACACCCCAGUAAGCGCGACUUCGAGUUCGCACUUGCUCAUCUUUGAACGUUCUGGCCAAACCCCUUUUUCUUCUGGCACUGUUCUUUGAACGUUCAAACUUUAACGUCCAAACCCCUUUUCUUCUGGCACCGUUCUUUGAACGUUCAAGCAGUCCCCAUCCCAGCAAGCGAUUUCGAGUUUGCGGUUGCUCCUCUCGCGCUGCUCUCCGACCGUCUUCCCCAGAAACACCAGAUCUACAAUUUAUGUGAAGGGUGGGUUGGAUUUAACGCCAAGCCGCCGCCGCCGCCGCCGCCGCCGCCGCCGCCGACCCUGCAACGCCUCCUGGGAACCAGUCCUCGGGUCUCGUCUCAUCGAGACAAGGAGCGCCCGUUUCGACAGAUCCGAUGUGUCGAGUAGAGCCAUGCAUGUCGUGAGGUUUAGAUCUAAAGAUCUAAACUCGAGCCGAGCCAUCUCCCCGAUUCAAAAUAAAAAGGAGACGACUCUCUCUCCUUGCGGCUGCAGGAGGUGAAGAAGACGACCGAUCCGAGGUUGCGAUCUAUAGCAGAGACAAGAGGAGGGAGGAUAAAUGAAUAAAGCAAAGCAAGCCCCUGAAACUCACGGCAAAAAAGUGAAACAGAUAUGGUUAAUAUGUUGAAUCAAGGAAGCACACCUGAAUCAAGGAAGCACACCCCAGACAAGCGAUUUCGAGUUCCGCACUCGCUCCUCUUCGUCGGCUCACCUCUCGCGCUGCUCUUCCGACCUUCUCUCGCAGAAACCCCCUUUUACUGCCAACCGCACCAGAUCUGUUUUUCAUGGGAUGAUUUUCAUUCUUUCCCAGAAACCCCCUUCCCCGCCAACCGCACCAGAUCUAAUUUUGCGUGGGGUUCAUGGGAUGAUGGAGAGAGGGAGGUGAUUUUCAUGCGAUGAUUUUCAUGGGAGGGGAGAGGGAUUUUCAUGGCCGGAUUGGUGUUGGGGGUGGUGGCGUUUGUGUUUGGAGUUAGCGACGCGGUUGAGGUAAAGGUUGGGAGAAUCUUUAUUUCUACAAUGUGACGCUAUGGGGAGAGUUGGUUGGGGGCAUCGGGAGGAUUGGGAGCCAAAUGACCGAAGAGAGUCUGGGGCAUGGGGAAGAUUAGGACAGCCGGGGAUUUUAUUGUCAAUUCCGAUCGAGAAAAAUUAGGCUGCACAUGAUAAAAUUUCUGUUUCUUGAUUUCUCUCUUCCUCUGUUUCCUGGAAUAGGUUCGGAACAGAAAUUCGUUUGGUAACGCAAAUUGAUUUCUCUAUUUCUAAAACAGAUUUCUAUUUCAGAAAUUAUUUUGGGAGAGAAAUCAGAAGCUAGAAAUUGUAGCUUCUCUGUUUCUGAAAUAGAAAUAGAAUUUUUUUUUUUGAGACUCUGUUUAAGAAACAUGCAUGACUUAUGUAUUUCAUUUCAUGACUUAUGUAUUUGAGACUUUGUUUAUUUAUGUUUUUAAGUUGCAAUUAUGAUGAUGUUAUUGCUAUAGGCAUUCUUCUUUAAGGAAUGUCAUUGAAAGAUCAUUUGGGGUAUUGAAGAAUCGCUUUUUCAUUUUGAGGCACAUGCCCUCAUUUGCACUUCGAAAGCAAGCACAUAUCGUAAUUGCAUGUUGUGCCAUCCAUAAUUACAUCCGCGAUCAAGACAAAAUGGAUAAGAACUUUUUCCUAUAUGGAGAUCCGAUGUACGUGGCUGAACUUACGUAGGAUGAGCUUGCAAACAUUUAGUUGACCGAUGAGAGAAACCAAAUAAAUAUGCUUAGAAAAACCAUUGCCAAUAAAAUGGCAAGGGAAUAAUAUGCCGGAAAUUCCAUGAAAUUGUAUUUUCAAUUUUUGCAAUGUAUUAGUAUUAUUUCGACUAUUAUUUUGUAUUUGAGGAUUUCAUAUGUUGUUAUCUAAUCAAUUUCUAUUUCUAGCACAACUUUCAUUUUAUUAAUUUCGAAUUGCUCGCAAAUUGCGCCUCCCUCCAUGUCAACUAGUACCUAACAUAAAAUCACUUUGUGGUCUCAAAAGAAUGCAAAAAAGUGUAGUGACUUAAACCCGAAUCUUGAAUGAGGAGAAUAAAUACAUUCACUAUUUGCAUAUUAGCAUUUGAAAAUGCCAAAUCUUUUAUAGUUUGCAUAUUAGCAUUUUUUAUACUAAUUACUAGCUUUUAUUUACAUAAAUUGCUAAUGUUUUGAAGUUCUUAACUACUCUAUCGAAUUACCAAUAUAAAUUAAAGUGAUUUAUCAACUUUUAUUAAAUUAAAUUACCAUCAUAAGCACCAAGAAGAGUGAGGUAAAAUGAUAGGGACAACAUGAUUCAUAGAAAUAUAAAUUUUUUUUUUCUGUUAUCAAACGGAUUUCUGUUUCAGAAAUAGAAAUUUCGAGUUGUUAUCAAACGGGUUUCUUUGCUCAAAAACUUGGCUGGGGAAUAGAAAUUGAGAAAUAGAUUUCUGGCCAUAAAUCAAUUUCUGUUUUAGAAAUUUUAUCAUGCGCAGCCUUAGAGACAUAGGAAAGAUUAGGACAGGUGGGGAUUUUAUUGUCAAUUCCGAUCGAGGAAAAGUAGAGACAUAGGACAGCUGGGGAUUUUAUUGUCAAUUCUGAUCGAGGAAAAUUAGAGACAUAGGAAAGAUUAGGAUAGUUGGGGAUUUUAUUGUUAAUUCCGAGCGAAGAAAAUUAGAGACAUAGGAAAGAUUAGAGACAUAGGAAAUAUUAGGACAGGUGGGGAUUUUAUUAUCAAUUACGAGCGAAGAAAAUUAGAGACAUAGGAAAGAUUAGGACAGCUGGGGAUUUUAUUGUCAAUUCCGAGCGAAGAAAAUUAGAGACAUAGGAAAGAUUAGGACAGCUGGGGAUUUUAUUGUCAAUUCCGAGCGAAGAAAAUUAGAGACAUAGGAAAGAUUAGAGACAUAGGAAAGAUUAGGACAGCUGGAGAUUUUAUUGUCAAUUCCAAGCGAGGAAAAGUACAGACAUAGGAAAGAUUAGGACAGCUAGGGAUUUUUCAGGGUUUUUAGCCCUUUUUUAUUUUUUUAUUUAUCACGUGAAAUUUAGCGAAGUAAAAUAAUUCAUUCGUAUGUCUCUAUUUUUUUCAGGGUCUUUAGACCUAGGGAUGGGACGAGAUGGAGACCGCGGAGAUUGAAGGAAUGGAGACCCGGGGUAACCCGGGGUAAGAUUGUCAAUGUGAGCAAGGGAAAAAGUGGGAGAUUGGAGGGAUGGAGACCUUGGGUCACAUUGACGAUAAUAUCCUCAGAGUCCCCCCAAGGGAUUUUAUUGUCAAUGUGACCUAAGAGGACACAUCAUAUAGAAAUAAAGAUUCUCCCAACCUUACCCCAACCGUGUCGCUAACUCCAGCCACCACCCCAACACCAAUCCGGCCAUGAAAAUCCCUCUCCCCUCCCAUGAAAAUCAUCGCAUGAAAAUCACCUCCCUCUCUCCAUCAUCCCCUGAACCCCACGCAAAAUUAGAUCUGGUGCGGUUGGCAAGGAAGGGGGGUUCUGGGAAAGAAUGAAAAUCAUCCCAUGAAAAAUAGAUCUGGUGCGGUUGGCAGUAAAAAAAAAGGGGUUUCUGGGAAAGAAGGUCGGAAGAGCAGCGCGAGAGGUGAGCCGACGAAGUGGAGCAAGUGCGAACUCGAAAUCGCUUGUCUGGGGUGUGCUUCCUUGAUUCAGGUGUGCUUCCUUGAUUCAACAUAUUAACCAUAUCUGUUUCACUUUUUUUGCCGUGAGUUUCAGGGGCUUGCUUUGCUUUAUUCAUUUAUCCUUCCUCCUCUUGUCUCUGCUAUAGAUCGCAACCUUGGAUCGGUCGUCUUCUUCAUCUCCUGCAGCCGCAAGGAGAGAGAGUCGUCUAUUUUCUUUUUUCUUUUAUUGAAUCGGGGAGAUGGCUCGGCUCGAGUUUAGAUCUAAACCUGACGACAUGCAUGGCUCCACUCGACACAUCGGAUCUGUCGAAACGGGCGCUCCUUGUCUCGAUGAGACGAGACCCGAGGACUGGUUCCCAGGAGGCGUUGCAGGGAUGGCGGCGGCUUCUUGGCGUUAAAUCCAACCCAUCCUUUACGUAAAUUGUAGAUCCGGUGUUUCUGGGGAAGAGAGUCGGAGAGCAGUGCGAGAGGAGCAACCGCGAACUCGAAAUCGCUUGCUGGGAUGGGGACCGCGUUCAAAGAACGGUGCCAGAAGAAAAGGGGAUUUGGACGUUCAAGAACAGUGCCAGAAGAAAAGGGGGUUUGGCCAGUACGUUCAAAGAUGAGCAAGUGCGAACUCGAAAUCGCGCUUACUGGGGUGUGCCUUGUUGACUCAGCAUACAACCAUAUCUCUUUCACUUUUGUGCCGUGAGUUUCGGGUGCUUGCUUUGCUUUAUUCAUUUAUCCUUGUCUCUGCUUCUGAUCGCAACCUCGGAACGGUCGUCUUUUUCACCUGCAACCGUAAGGGGAGAGAUCCGUCUACUCAUGUUGAAUCGGGGAGAUGGCUCGGCUCCAGUUUAGAUCUUAGAUCUCAGCUCCAGCGAGCCCUGUACCUGGGUUCUGUCGAAAUGGGUGUUCCUUUUUUCGAUGAUUCGAGACCCGAGGAGGGGUCCCCGGUUCAAGUUCCGGUUCGGUAUUCGGUUCGUUUCAGUUUCGGUUUCUGCGAACCAGUGGACGGUUCGCGGAUGCUCGAACCAGCUCACCGCAGCUCUGGCUCAUUCCAGUUCCAGUUCCAGCUCCUCACGGCUCCCGGAUCCGGCUCCUCGCGGGUGGUGUACAUAUACUCAUGCUUGUACUAUCCACAUGGGUGUACAUAUACACAUGCGUGUACAUUCACUGCGCGUUCACACCCACACACUCACAUAUAUACAAUGCGAUGAAACCCUACAAUUUGAUGCGAUUCGAUUCAAUUUGGGAGCGAGGCACCGGAAUGUCGCUCCUUUCCGACCGCAACCUCUCCAACACCACCGAGAAGGUGGUCGCCGAGUACAUAUGGUCAGUCCUCGUUCACUUGUCUCACUUGUCGCUAAUCCUCUUGUUCUGUCUGGUGCGUUUGAUUUCUCUAGCUUCUCGAAGUUCAGUUUGAUCCGGAUCCGAUCUUAGGCAUGCUGUUUUGCUGUAUAUCCAGUUCUGAUUAGGAAUUACCUCUAAUUUUGUUCAUUAUAUUUCGAAUCCGUCCUUUUCUGUUGAUUUCUCUAUCUUCUCGAAGUUCAGUUCGAUCCCGAUCUGAUCUUAGGCAUGCUGUUUUGCUGUAUUUCCAGUUCUGAUUAGGAAUUACCUCUAAUUUU